rnacentral:rRNA from 1 species
AUUGAACGCUGGCGGCAGGCCUAACACAUGCAAGUCGAGCGGAUGAGUGGAGCUUGCUCCAUGAUUCAGCGGCGGACGGGUGAGUAAUGCCUAGGAAUCUGCCUGGUAGUGGGGGACAACGUUUCGAAAGGAACGCUAGUCACGCAUACGUCCUACGGGAGAAAGCAGGGGACCUUCGGGCCUUGCGCUAUCAGAUGAGCCUAGCUCGGAUUAGCUAGUAGGUGAGGUAAAGGCUCACCUAGGCGACGAUCCGUAACUGGUCUGAGAGGAUGAUCAGUCACACUGGAACUGAGACACGGUCCAGACUCCUACGGGAGGCAGCAGUGGGGAAUAUCGGACAAUGGGCGAAAGCCUGAUCCAGCCAUGCCGCGUGUGUGAAGAAGGUCUUCGGAUUGUAAAGCACUUUAAGUUGGGAGGAAGGGCAGUAAGCUAAUACCUUGCUGUUUUGACGUUACCAACAGAAUAAGCACCGGCUAACUUCGUGCCAGCCGCCGCGGUAACAC